rnacentral:siRNA from 1 species
UGGAACAGGUGUAGGAAUUCCA